AAGAUACUAGUAAAACUUAAUAUUACCUUGCCUUGUCGAGGCAAAAUUGUAGGUUAAAAUCCUGCGUAUCUUA
rnacentral:tRNA from 1 species